rnacentral:rRNA from 1 species
UACGUAGGGGGCAAGCGUUGUCCGGAAUCAUUGGGCGUAAAGAGCGUGUAGGCGGUCCGGUAAGUCGGUUGUGAAAGUCCAGGGCUCAACCCUGGGAUGCCGAUCGAUACUGUCGGACUAGAGUUCGGAAGAGGCGAGUGGAAUUCCCGGUGUAGCGGUGAAAUGCGUAGAUAUCGGAAGGAACACCAGUGGCGAAAGCGGCUUCCUGGUCCAGCACCGACGUUCAGGCACGAAAGCGUGGGGAGCAAACAGG